rnacentral:rRNA from 1 species
UACGAAGGGGGCUAGCGUUGCUCGGAAUCACUGGGCGUAAAGGGCGCGUAGGCGGCGCGGGAAGUCAUCGGUGAAAGCUCAGGCUCAACUCUGAGUCGGCCGGUGAUACUCUCGUGCUUGAGCACUGUAGAGGCAGGCGGGAAUUCCGGGUGUAGCGGUGGAAUGCGUAGAGAUCCGGAAGAACACCGGUGGCGAAGGCGGGCCUGACUGGGCAGUGCUGGACACUGAG